rnacentral:rRNA from 1 species
GACGAACCGUGCGAACGUUGUUCGGAAUCACUGGGCUUAAAGGGCGCGUAGGCGGCCGCACAAGUCAGGGGUGAAAUCUUUCGGCUCAACCGGAAAAGUGCCUCUGAUACUGUGCGGCUCGAGGGAGGUGAGGGGCGGGACGGAACUUCCGGUGGAGCGGUGAAAUGCGUUGAUAUCGGAAGGAACGCCGGUGGCGAAAGCGGUCCGCUGGCCCUCUACUGACGCUGAGGCGCGAAAGCUAGGGGAGCAAACAGG